rnacentral:rRNA from 1 species
UUCGGGAAGCGAGCGUACACAGGUGCUGCAUGGCUGUCGUCAGCUCGUGUCGUGAGAUGUUGGGUUAAGUCCCGCAACGAGCGCAACCCUUGCCUUUAGUUGCCAGCAGUUCGGCUGGGCACUCUAAAGGGACUGCCGGUGUUAAACCGGAGGAAGGUGGGGAUGACGUCAAGUCCUCAUGGCCUUUAUGACCAGGGCUACACACGUACUACAAUGGCCGAUACAAAGGGCAGCGACACUGCGAGGUGAAGCCAAUCCCGUAAAAUCGGUCUCAGUCCGGAUUGGAGUCUGCAACUCGACUUCAUGAAGCUGGAAUCGCUAGUAAUCGCAGAUCAGCCAAGCUGCGGUGAAUACGUUCCCGGGCCUU